rnacentral:lncRNA from 1 species
UUUUUUUUUGUGUGCCCAUGAGACACUGACCACUUGUCAUUACCAGUAGCUAGCCUAGUUGGUUAGCACUUUGGUUUGAAUCUUGUAGGUCGAAGGAUCAAAUUCCCAUGGCCUCUCUUUUAUAUUCAUCUAUGUAUUUUGUUUUGCAUGCAUGUUGCAUCCUUAUUAUGUUUUGUGUUGCCCGUAUCUUUUAUACCGUAACCCCGUUGGAGAUGUGCCAUUAAUGUGUAGUGUUUGAUUGUGUGAAUUGUCAUGUCGUGACUUGCAUAUAUUCAACUGCUCAUGCAUCAUUUGUGUCGUGCAUCGUGUGGUGAAUAUCGUGUGUUGAUUCUUGUUUCCGGUUUUCCCCGUCUCGAUAGAGUCCGCAAGCGUGUCGGAUGUGACGACCCGUUCGACUACGUCGGUUCGUCUGCUUCACGGAGACAUUCUUCUUCCAAGCGGGAUCUCAGGCAAGAUGACCAUUUCCCUAGAUACCAUUACUAUCAUUGCCAUGCUAGUUUUAUCGCUUCUAUCGAUUAUGUCUCGUUGCCUACCACAUGUUAAAUAUCAGCCUCUCAACAAUGCCAUGAAAACCUUCAACCUGUUCGACCUAGCAAACCACUGAUUGGCUAUGUUACUGCUUGCUUAACCCUGUUGAUAGCGUUGCUAGUUGCAGGUGCAGUUGCUUCCAUGUGAAAACAUGGGUUCCUUGUUAUAUCACCAUAUUUAAAUGCUAUUUUAAUUUAAUGCACCUAUAUACUUGGUAAAAGGUGGAAGGCUCGGCCUUUCUAGCCUGGUGUUUUGUUCCACCUUUGCCCCCUUAGUUUUCGGCUACCGGUGUUAUGUUCCAUAAAUGAGCGCUCCUAACACGAUCGGGGUUGUUAUGGGGACCCCCUUGAUAAUUCGUUUUAGAUUAAGACUGGUCUGGCAAGGCCCAACUUUGGUACUACAUUUGCCUAAACACCUAAUAAAAUUGCAUAGGGACUUUCCGGACCCCGAGGAUAAUUUAAUCAACCCCCGGGCCAGUGCUCCUCAUGAGUGUUGGUCCAAAUUGGCAGACAACGGGGCCACCGCGGGGAAACCCGAGGUUUGGUUCUCCUAGUGUGACCCAUCCGUCGUGUCCUGAGAACGAGGUACGCGACUCCUAUCGGGAUCGUCGACACGUCGGGCGGCCUUGCUGGGUUAGUUUUACCUUUGACGAAAUAUCUUGUGCAUCGAGAUUCCGGUGAUGCUUUGGGUAAACUCAGAGUUGAGGUUUUCCACUAGGGAAUCCGACGAGAUCACGAGCUUCAUGAUUGAGGAUUUCUAUGCGGCUUGUGGUAAUUUGUGAUGGACUAGUUGGAGCACCCCUGCAGGGUUAAAUCUUUUCGGAAAGACGUGCCCGCGGUUAUGUGGCAACGUGGAAACUUUGUUUAACACUGGUUCUAGAUAACUUGAAGUCAACUUAUUUAAAACUUGCCAACUAUGUGCGUAACCGUGACUGUCUCCUUCGUGAGUUCUUACUCCGAUCGAGGACACGGUGGGGUUAUGUCUGACAUAGGUAGGUGUUCAGGAUCAUUCCUUUGAUCAUCAGUAGUAACGUCCGUUAUGCGUAGAUCUUCCCCCUCUUAUUUCUUGGACUCGUAAGUUUAGCCACCUCAUAUAUGCUUAGCCGCUGCUGCAACCUCACCACUUAACCAUACCUCACUCGUUAAUCUUUGCUAGUCUUGAUACCUUUGGAAAUGAGAUUGCUGAGUCCCCUGUGGCUCACAGAUUACUACAACACCAGUUGCAGGUACAGGUAAAGGUUACUCGACGCGAGCGCGUUGAUUGUUCAUCUGGAGUUGCUUCUUCUUCUUCUUCAUCAUCGAUCUAGGAUGGGUUCCAGGCCGGCAGCCUGGGAUAGCAAGGAUGGACGUCGUUUCAUUUUCUCGUUUGUUUUCGUCCGUAGUCGGACCCUGCCCUUCUUCAUGAUGUUUAUGUAAUGUACUGUUGUGACUCUGAUGUAGCUUGUGGCGAGUGUAAGCCAACUCUCUUUAUAUAUCUCUUCUUUUCAGUACAUGUACUUGUAACGAUAUCCAUUCUUGCGACACGACGAGAUGCGCUUCUAUCCCUGACGAGGCCUUCGUGCCAAAUUGAGGAUAGGGUCGCAUCUUGGGCGUCACAUGGCUAUAUCGUGUAGUUUGGUAAGAUGGGCUACGACCGUCUCAGAUUCAGAACCGUGAAAAGGAUCAGAUUCGACUAAAGAGAUUAUCUCAGGAUCGACAGAGAAUUCAUAAUCCUUAUCGGUGAUAAAGAUAGGCGAAGUGGCAAACUUCGGGUCAUAUUUCAUCCUAGCUUUCAGAGAUUUUUUCUUCCACUUGAGAAGUAAUUUCUCAGCGUCAUAGGCAUCCUUACACGCAAGAAAAUCCUUGGCUAUCUCUCCCUCCAUAACGUAACCCUCAGGUAUAUCAGGCAAUUCAUAUCUAGGAGAGCUAGAUCUAGCAGGAGCAAAAGCAGGUUCUAUCUCAAUAGUAUCGGCAGUUUCAGAAGCAUCANAUCAGGCAUAAUAUCACGCAUAGCAUCUCUAGCAGUAGCAUCAUAAGCAUCAUCAAGCACAGGCGACAUAUCAAGAUUUCUAGCAGGAGGUGAUGUCGCAAACUUACUCAUAACUGAAGGUGAAUCAAGUGCAGAGCUAGAUGGCAGUUCCUUACCUCCCCUCGUAGUUGAGGGCAAGACUUUGGUUUUUGGAUCCUUUAGAUUCUUCAUAGUGAUCAGCAGAUAUAAGUCCCAAGUGACUCAGGGAAUAUAGCAAUACCUCCCCGGCAACGGUACCAGAAAAAUGUUGCUUCUGUGACAACAGACCUUCCCCUGCAACGGCACCAGAAGAAUGCUGCUAGCACUCCCCGGCGGCGAUACUAGAAGAAUGUUGUUGAUGGCCCACCAGCGCGUGGGUUCGCGGCAGUUUUCGAGGGUAGAGUAUUCGACCCAAAUUUGUUGAUUCGCCAGGCACGAGGUGAGAGAAUACUUCGAGUAUUAGCAGCUGAAUGUAUCAGAUUCAACCACACCUGAAAGAUUAGUAUCUGCAAGCAAAGUAGUAGCAGCAAAGUAGUAUGAUAACAACGGUGUCAGAAACGAUCUGUUGAUGGCAGACUAUUCCUAACUGUCGUAUCAAUGGCGCCAGAAGUUGCUCGUUGACGGAAAUUGUCUUUUCCAGUCAACAACGAGCGAACCAGAAUUGUAGCAGGUAGCAGCAGUGUAACGAGUAAUAGCAGUGGCAAGGAACAUCAGUAGUGACAACAGUAGCAAGUAGCAAUAGUAGUAACAGCACCAGCAACAGUAGUAACAACAGUAGCAGCAGAGCAAGACAAGUAACAGCAGCAGUGGGACAAACUCGUAGGCAAUGGGUCCGUGAUUCGUUUGGAUGAUAUUCAUCAUGCAACAGUUAUAACACGGAGAGAUAUGUGGCUAGCUCCCGUUCGUCAAUGUGAUGUAGGCAUGCAUUUCGUGUGUAGUCAUACGUGCUUAGGGAAAAGAACUUGCAUGACAUCUAUUGUCCAUCCCUCCCAUGGCAGCGGGGUCCAAAAGGAUACUACAGGAUAUUAAGGUUCUCCUUUUAAUAAAGAACCGGAACAACGCAUUAGCACUUGGUGAACACAUGAACUCCUCAAACUAUGGUCAUCACCGGGAGUGGUUCCGGUUAUUGUCACUUCGGGGUUGCCAGGUCAUAACACAUAGUAGGUAACUACAACUUGCAAGAUCGGAUCUAAAACACACAUAUAUUGGUGACAACAUAAUAAUUUCAGAUCUGAAAUCAUGGCACUCGGGCCUUAGUGACAAGCAUUAAGCAUGGCAAAGUAGUAGUAACAUCAAUCUCAGAACAUAGUGGAUACUAGGGAUCAAUCCCCGUCAAAACUAACUCGAUUACAUGAUAGAUCUCAUCCUACUCAUCACCGCCCAGCGAGCCUACGAAUAGAUUACUCACAAACGAUGAAGAGCUUCAUGGAGUUAGAGAGGGAAGAAGGUUGAUGAUGACGAUGGCGACGAUUUCCCCACUCUGGAGCCCAAAACGGACUCCAAAUCUGUCCUCGAGAUGAAGAACAGGAUGUGGCAGUGUCUCCGUAUCGCAAACGCGACAAAAUCUUCUGUUCUGAUUUUUUUUCUGGGCGAAAGUGAAUUUAUAGAGCUGAGAUUGGGGGCGGCAGACCCACGUGGGCCCCACAAGCUUGGUUGCCGCGACCAGGGGGCGCGGCAACAGGGCUUGUGGCCCACUGGCCCAUCCCCUUCGGUGGAUCUUUGCGCAGGUAUUUUUCAUAUUUUCCAGAAAUACUCUCCGUAAAUUUUCAAGACAUUCCGAGAACUUUCAUUUCUGCACAAAAACAACACCAUGGCAAUUCUGCUGAAAACAGCGUCAGUCCGGGUUAGUUCCAUUCAAAUCAUGCAAAUUAGAGUCCAAAACAAGGGCAAAAUAGUUUGGAAAAGUAGAUACGAUGGAGACGUAUCACCCACCACUAACUUCGCAUCGUUUUUAUUUUUUGCAUCUUUUUUUGUGUCGUUUUUUUGCAACGUUUUUUGCGUCGCUUUUUUGCAUCGUGUGUGAACGUGCUGGCUCUUUCACAUUUGACCCCGAUCACAGUCCACUCAUCAAACCAACCACAGUUUCCCAUGCGUGUACACUCCUGAUGCCGCGGUGGGUGUGAAAACGGGGUGGUUUAGAGUUUAUGUUACAAUGGCUAUUUAAGCCGGACGGACGCUCCCCUCCCCCAGCCGUAGCUCUUCGCCUGCUCCGUUUUCCCGCCGAGACCCGAGCACUCCCCUCUCCCAGCCCAUCAGCCAUGCCACCACGCUGCCAAUACUACACGAUCGAAGAACGUCUCUACCUCCUUCGGCGGGCCCAAUUCUAGAGGGAAGCGGGGCUACCUCUAGAGGAUUUCGGGGAGCCGGAGGAGGAGGCGCCGCCGCAGGAGCUGAAGGUGGAGGCAUCGCCGGAGGAGGAGGAGGCGCCACAGGAGCCAUAGGUGGAGGCAUCGCCGGAGGAGGAGGCGGCGCCGCAGGAGCCGAACGUGGAGGCACCGCCGCAGGAGCCAGAAGUGGAGGCACCGCCGGUCUACUAUGUGUGGCACGACCAAGUGGAGAUCCUCAACUCCAUCUGCUCGAAAGCACCUGCGUAGGCCCGACGUCUUCGUCAGCAACAGAUGCAGGUAGCGUGGCCGGCGUAGGAGGAGGCACAGGUGGUGUCCCAGGAGGACCAGGCUCCGGUGCAGGCCGAUCAAGCCAUCUCCGACAACGAAGACGCAUAGUGCACUAGGCAGUACGUAGGAUAUAUAUUGUAGGCUUCCCUAUAUUGUAUGCUUUCGUUAUUAUGCUCUCUGAGCUAUGUUUGUUGAUGCUUCAGCAUGUAUGCUUUCGUUAUUAUGCUCUCUGAACUAUGUUUGUUGAUGCUUAAAAAUGAUGAUGCUUAAAAAAAUAUAUUACAUGCUUUUUGUUGAUGGUUCAAAGCCCUAAACCCUAACCCUAAACGUUGCACUGCACCCUAGCCUUGGUCUAUGGUACUUGGAAGGUGGAUACGCGUGCGAGAAGACAGGAACCAGUGGCAGCGACUGUCGUUGCAUCCGUGACGACGCGCAUGCAUGCAGCCUAGCUCGAUCACAUGGCAUGCACAACAGGCUUCGCCGCUUUGGUAUCAUGGAGGCGCACGUCGAUCGGUAUGCCCUAGAGUUUAAUUGCCAUGCUGAAUUGAUGCUACGGUGUUCAAAGGCUGAGACAUUGUGAACUGUGAAUCAAUCGAGGAGGCGACAGACGCUGCGUCCCGUGGCGGCUCACAGGAAGGCUGCAUCCGUGGCAGGGCGCAUCAACGAAUGCUCGCAGGCAUGCAGGCGGUUCAUGUCGUGCAUGCAUAGCUUUAAUUGCCACGUUGAAUAAAUGUGAGUGGAUCGGGGAGACAAGUGUGUGACAUGAGACGAACCAGCAGCAGCGACCGUCCCUGCGUCCGUGGCGGCUAGCAUGCAGAAAGAGGCCGGUCAGCGUACGUGGCGGCUCGUGUGCAGAAAGAGGGGACGUUAGCGCAUCAUGGUGGCGGGCAUCAGCGCAUGAAGGUAGGCUAGCUAUGUGCAUGCAUCGCAGGCUCAUGUCAUUACGGCGCGCAGGGCCUAGCAGCGACCGAUGGAGGCAGGCUAGCUACGUGCAUGCAUAGCAGGCUCAUGUCGUUACGGCGCGCGCAGGGCCCAACAAUCUAACCAUGGCCCAACGGGCUAACCGCGACACCAUCCGCUAUGACCCCACUCAUCAGGUCCAAUGGGGGACACAGUCAACGCGGCCCCACUCGUCAGAGUUAACGGUCAAAGCACUGACCCGACGGCAUCCAUGGUUUGUGACCAGUUCUAAGGGUUUCGAACAAGGGAGUGGGGAAAAGUGAGAAAAGUUAACAGCAUGAGGAUGAAUGAGUAGAGCUAACGAACCAGGGGCACAGAAAUAAAAAUCCCAUUUUAUUAUUGCCUCUAGGUCAUAUUUCCCACAGUCUCCCACUUGCACUAGUCAAUAAUCUAGCUUCACAUCUCUAUGUGAUUUACAAUGUAAUGAAUCUAACACCCAUACAGUUCUCGUGUUGAUCAUGCUUUGCUCGUGGAAGAGGCUUAGUCAGUGGAUCUGCAACAUUCAGAUCCGUGUGCACUUUGCAAAUAUUUAUUUACUCCUCCUUGAUGUAAUAGCGGACAUUGAAGCGUCGCUUUAUGUGUAUGGUCCUCUUAUGAAACCUUGGUUCCUUAGCUAGAGCAAUGGCACUAGUGUUGUCACAGAAUAGAUUGAUUGGGUCCAAUGCGCUUGGCACUACUCCAAGAUCUGACAUGAACUGCUUCAUCCAGACACCCUCCUUAUCCGCCUCUGAGGCAACUAUGUACUCCGCUUUGCAUGUAGAAUCAGCUAAGACGCUUUGCUUGGAACAACACCAGCUUACCGCACACCCAUUAAGAAUAAAUACGUAUCCAGUUUGAGACUUAGAGUCAUCCGGAUCAGUGUCAAAGCUUGCAUCGAUGUAACCCUUCACGACGAGUGAUACGUCUCCAACGUAUCUAUAAUUUUUGAUGGUUUCAUGCUAUUACCUUGUCAAACUUUAGAUGCUUUGUAUGCCUUUUAUAUCUUUUUUGAGACUAAUUUAUUAACUUAGUGCCAAGUGCCAGUUCCUGUUUUUUCCAUGUUUUUUACCCCUUUUAGAGGAGGAUUUUAAACGGAGUCCAAACGGAACGAAACUGCCAAAAAUAUUUUUUCCGAAACAGAAGAAGAUCGAGAAGCCUGAGAAUCAAGGUAGGGGGCCAGCAGGGACCCCACAAGCCCCCUAGCCGUGGCCACGAAGGGUCGCGCCUCCAAGGCUUGUGGGCUCCCUGGGCCACCUCUGCCCUAGGACUUCCGCCUAUAAAUUCCCUAAAAUCCCAGAAAAAAUCAAGAGAUCAUCGAAAGUACUUUUCUGCCGCCGCAAGCUUGUGUCUCCGCAAGAUCCCAUCUGGGGCACGUUCUGGUGCCCUGCCGGAGGGGGGAUUCGGAUACAGAGGGCUUCUUCAUCAACACCAUGACAUCUCCGAUGAUGCGUGAGUAGUUCACCAUAGACCUAAGGGUCCAUAGCUAGUAGCUAGAUGACUUCUUCUUUCUCUUGGAUCUUCAAUACAAAGUUCNCUUCAUGGAGAUCUAUUCGAUGUAAUCUUCUUUUGCGGUGUGUUUGUCAAGAUCCGAUGAAUUGUGGAUUUAUGAUCAGAUUAUCUAUGAAUCUUAUUUGAGUUUCUUCUGAUCUCUCUUAUGCAUGAUUUCAUAUCCUUGUAAUUCUCUUCGAGUUGUGGGUUUUGUUUGGCCAACUAGAUCUAUGAUUCUUGCAAUGGGAGAAGUGCUUGGUUUUGGGUUCAUACCGUGCGGUGACCUCACCCAGUGACAGAAGGGGUAGCGAGGCACGCAUCGUGUUGUUGCCAUCAAGGGUAAAAAGAUGGGGUUUUCAUCAUAGGUUUGAGAUUAUCCCUCUACAUCAUGUCAUCUUGCUUAAGGCGUUACUCUGUUCGUCAUGAACUCAAUACACUAGAUGCAUGCUGGAUAGCGGUCGAUGUAUGGAGUAAUAGUAGUAGAUGCAGAAAGUAUCGGUAUACUUGUCUCAGACGUGAUGCCUAUAUGUAUGAUCAUUGCCUUAGAUAUCGUCAUGACUUUGUGCGGUUCUAUCAAUUGCUCGAUAGUAAUUUGUUCACCCACCAUGAUAUUCGCUAUUUUGAGAGAAGCCUCUAGUGAACACUAUGGCCCCCGGGUCUACUCCACACCAUAUUUUCAGCCUUACACUUUUUCUGCGUUGCACUUUCCGCCUUCAGAUCUCACUUUGCAAUCAAUCUUGAAGGGAUUGAAAACCCCUUUAUAGCGUUGGGUGCAAGCUCUUUGUGUUUGUGCAGGUACUCUGGACUUGGCGAGAUUCUUCUACUGGAUUGAUACCUUGGUUCUCAAACUGAAGGAAAUAUUUACUGCUCCUGUGUUGCAUCACCCUUUCCUCUUCAAGGGAAAACCAACGCAAGCCCAAGAGACGACAGAAGGUUUCUGUCGACAUAGGAGAAGGAUUUCUGGCGCCGUUACCGGGGAGGAUCAAGUCAAGAACUCAUCCAAGUAAGUGUCGCAAACACAUCUCUUGCAUUUACUUUUUUUUCCAGGUUCCUCUCGUUUUCCUCUCCCCCACUUCACCAAUUUGCCUUUUUCGUUUGCCUAUUCGUUCGCCCUUUUUCUCGCUUGCUCUUUGUUCGCUUGUGUGCUUGCUUGCUUGCCGAAGUCACCAUGACUGAAAACACCAAACUUUGUGACUUCUCGAAUACUAAUAAUAAUUAUUUUAUUAGUACUCCGAUUGCUCCCGCCACUAGUGCGGAGUCAUACGAAAUCAAUGCCGCUUUGCUGAAUCUUGUUAUGAAAGAGCAAUUUUCCGGCCUUCCUAGUGAAGAUGCUGCAUCCCAUCUUAAUACCUUCAUAGAGCUUUGCGAUAUGCAAAAGAAGAAAGAUGUGGAUAAUGAUAUGAUUAAAUUGAAGCUUUUUCCUUUCUCGUUGCGAGAUCGAGCAAAAACUUGGUUUUCGUCUUUGCCCAAAAAUAGUAUCGAUUCUUGGGAUAAGUGCAAAGAUGCUUAUAUAUCCAAGUAUUUUCCGCCGGCUAAGAUUAUCUCUCUCCAUAAUGAUAUCAUGAACUUUAAGCAACUUGAUCAUGAACAUGUUGCACAAUCUUGGUAGAGAAUGAAAUUGAUGAUUAGAAAUUGUCCCGCUCAUGGCUUGAGUCUUUGGAUGAUUAUACAAAUCUUCUACGCUGGCUUGAAUUUCGCUUCUAGAAAUAUCUUGGACUCCGCCUCAAGUAGAACGUUCAUGGAAAUCACGUUAGGAGAAGCCACGAAACUCCUAGACAAUAUCAUGACGAACUACUCUCAGUGGCACACUGACAGGUCACCUACUACUAAGAAAGUACACGCUAUAGAAGAAAUUAACUCGUUGAGUGCUAAGAUGGAUGAGUUAAUAAAUUUGGUUGCUAGUAGAAGUGCUCCUUUAGAUCCUAAUGAUAUGCCCUUGUCUUCUUUGAUUGAGAGUAGCAACGCUAGCUUGGACGUUAAUUUUGUUGGUAGGAAUAAUUUUGGCAACAACAAUGCUUUUAGAGGAAAGUAUGUUCCUAGGCCUUUUCCUAGUAACUCCUCUAAUAAAUUUGGCAACUCCUACAACAAUACUCAUGGAAAUUACAAUAUAUUACCCUCUGAUCUAGAGAGUAAUAUCAAAGAGUUUAUCAACUCGCAAAAAAAAUUAAUGCGUCCAUAGAGGAAAAACUACUCAAAAUUGACGAUUUGGCUAAGAGCGUUGAUAGAAUAUCUAGUGAUACCGAUGCUUUGAAAGUUAGAUGUUCUCCUCCCAAGAUCAAUAUGGAUGAAACUUUGAAAGCUAUGCAUGUUUCCAUGAGCGAGAGCAAAGAAAGAGCCGCCCAAAUUCGUGCUAGACAUGAAUGGCUUAAAAGGUGUGUUCCCGUGAUAAGAAUCACGAAGAUCUUAAGGUGCCUGGUGUGACUCCCAUUGAAUCUUUGUUUUCUUGUGUCAAACCUAAUGAUGAUGGGGCUGGAUAUAAAUCCACCUUGGUUGAAAUACGCCCCAAUGAUUCGGAGUCCAUCUAUCUUGAUGCUAAAAGCAUUAAAAGUGGAGUAGAAGAUAUUAAAACUUUGAGUAGUAAUGAAAUUACUACUUUGGAUUUCAAGGAAUUCAAUUAUGAUAGUUGCUCCUUGAUUUAAUGCAUUUCCUUGAUGCAAUCCAUGCUAAACUCUCCACACACUUAUAGCCAAAACAAAGCCUUUACCGAUCAUAUCCUCGAAGCCAUGAUAAAAUCUCUUGAAGAGAAAUUUGAAUUGGAAGUCUCUAUACCUAGAAAGCUUCAUGAUGAGUGGGAACCUACUAUCAAAAUAAAAAUCAAAAACUAUGAAUCCAAUGCUUUGUGUGAUUUGGGUGCUGGUGUUUCCGCGAUUCCAAAGUCUUUAUGCGAUGUUCUGGGUUGAGAUUGAAGAGUGUUCUCUUAAUUUGCAUCUUGCGGAUUCUACUGUCAAGAAACCCAUGGGAAGGAUCAAUGAUGUUCUUAUUAUUGCAAAUAGGAACUAUGUACCCAUGGAUUUCAUUGUGCUUGACAUUGAUUGCAAUCCUACAUGCCCUAUUAUUCUUGGUAGACCUUUCCUAAGGACUAUCGGUGCCAUCAACGAUAUGAAGGAAGGGAAUAUUAGAUUUCAAUUACCUUUAAAGAAGGGCAUGGAUCACUUUCCUAGAAAGAAAAUAAGAUUGACUUAUGAAUCCAUGAUGAGGGCCACUUAUGGUUUGAGCACCAAAGACGACGAUACGUGAUUAUAUCGCCUUAUGCCUAGCUAAGGGCGUUAAACAAUAACGCUUGUUGGGAGGCAACCCAAUGACUUUAUUUCUUUUUCUUUCUGUUUUGUUGCAUCCACACUAUCAUAAUUCUUUUAUGAUUGUGUUUUUUGUGUUUGAGCCAAGCAAAACCUUUAUGAUUAGUCUUGGUAAUGGUUGUUUGAUCCUGCUGGAAAAAGACAGAAACUUUUCGCUCACGAGAUGAUUUUUAAUUUUUAUGCAGAAAGAGCUUUUGAGUUGAUUCUUUUUGCUGCUGGUUGAUAUGCCUUUUUCCCAGGCAGUCGUAAGUUUUCAGAAUUUUUGAGGUACCAUAAGUAUACGAAGUAUAUAGAUUGCUACAGACUGGUCUGUUUUUGACAGAUUCUGUUUUUGUUGAGUUGGUUGCUUGUUUGGAUGAAACUAUGGUUAGUAUCGGGGGUACUAGCCAUGGAAAAGUUAGAAUACAGUAGCCCAACAUCAAUAUAAAUAGAAAUCAAGAUUGCUACAGUACCUAAAGAGGUGGUAGUUUGUUUUCUUGUGCUAAUGUUAUCACGAGUUUCUGUUUAAGUUUUGAGUUGUGAAGUUUUCAAGUUUUGGGUGAUGUCCUCAUGGACAAAGAGAUAAGGAGUGGAAAGAGCUCAAUCUUGAGGAUGCCCAAGGCAUCCCAAGCCAAAUUCAAGGACACCAGAAAGCCUAAGCUUGGGGAUGCCCCGGGAAGGCAUCCCCUCUUUCGUCUUCAAUCCAUCAGUAACAUUACUUGGAGCUAUAUUUUUAUUCACCACAUGAUAUGUGUUUUGCUUGGAGCGUCUUGUAUCUUAGGAGUCUUUUCUUUUUGUUGUGUCACAAUCAUCCUUGCUGCACACCUUUAGAGAGAUACAUUCACUCAUCGUGAUUUUGCUAGAAUGCUCAUAGUGCUUCACUUAUAUCUUUUGAGCUAGAUAAUUUUGCUCUUUGUGCUUCACUUAGAUCUUUUAGAACACGGCGGUGCGUGACUUGGUAGUUGAUCUAUGCUAUGAAAGUAGUCCCAAAGGAUAUAGGUACCCAAAGAGGAUACAAAAACCUCCAUCUUCAUGUGCAUUGAGUAGAAAGAGAAGUUUUGGUUCCUCUCAAUUAGUUUUCAGACGUGGAUUUGGUAAUACUAUAAGAGUUAUGUUAGUAGGGUGUUGUGAAUCUAGAAAUACUUGUGUUGAAGUUAGUGAUUCCCGUAGCAUGCACGUAUGGUGAACCGCUAUGUUAGGAAGUCGGAGCAUAAUUGAUCUAUUGAUUGUCAUCCUUUGUGUUGAGGUCGGGAUCGCGCGAUGGUUAACACCUACCAACCCUUCCCCUCAGAGUAUGUGUUUAGCACUUUGUUUCGAUUACUAAUAAAAACUUUCACAACAAGUAUGUGAGUUCUUCAUGACUAAUGUGAGUCCAUGGUAUAGAUGCACUUUCACCUUCCACCGUUGCUAGCCUCUCUAGUGUCGCGCAAUUCUCGCCGGUGCAUAAACCCACCAUAUGCCUUCCUCAAAACAGCCACCAUACCUACCUACUAUGGCAUUUCCAUAGCCAUUCCAAGAUAUAUUGCCAUGCAACUCCCACCGUUCCGUCUCAUGACUUGUGCCGUCACUCUAAUAUUGCCAUUUCAUGAUCGUAAGAUAGCUAGCAGAUGUUUCAACAUCAUACGCCAAGCUAGACCUUUGCACAUCUCGGUACACUGCCGGACGCAUUUCCUAUAGAAUAAUUUCUAAGCUUUGAGCUGUGAGUAAAUAAAAGUGUGAUGAUCAUCAUUAUUAGAGCAUUGUCCCAUGUGAGGAAAUAAAAAAAGAGGCCAAAGAGCCCAAAUGAAAAAAAGGAAAGAGAAAAAAAGAGGCCAAAGAGCCCAAAAAAAGCGAGAGAAAAAGAGAAGGGACAAUGCUACUAUCUUUUUCCACACUUGUGCUUCAUAGUAGCACCAUGUUCUUCAUGAUUGAGAGCCUCUCAUUUCGUCACCACCAUAUGCUAGUGGGAAUCUUCAUUAUAUAACUUAGCUUGUAUAUUCCAAUGAUGGGCUUCCUCAAAAUUGCCCUAGGUCUUCAUGAGCAAGCAAGUUGGAUGCACGCCCACUAGUUCUCCUUUUGAGCUUUCACAUACUUAUAGCUCUAGUGCAUCCUUUGUAUGGCAAUCCCUACUCAUUCACAUUGAUAUCUAUUAAUGGGCAUCUCCAUAGCCCUUUGAUACGCCGAGUCAAUGUGACCAUCUCCUCCCUUUUUGUCUCACAACCACCACCACACCCUAUUCCACCUAUAGUGCUAUAUCCAUGGCUCACGCUCAUGUAUUGCGUGAUAGUUAUAAAAAGUUUGAGAAAGUAAGAGUGCGAAAACAAUUACUUGGCCAAUACCGGGGUUGUGCAUGAUUUACAUUAGUUGUGUGAGGAUGAUGGAGCAUAGCCAGACUAUAUGAUUUUGUAGGGAUAACUUUCCUUGGCCUUGUUAUUUUGAAAGUUCAUGAUUACCUUGCUACUUUGCUUGAAGUAUUAUUGUUUUAAUGUCAAUAGCAAACUAUUGUUUUGAAUCUUACGGAUCUGAACAUUCAUGUCACAUGAAAGAAGUUGCAAAGGACAACUAUGCUAGGUAGCAUUCCACAUCAAAAAUUCAUUCUUUAUCACUUCCCUACUCGAGGACGAGCAGGAGUUAAGCUUGGGGAUCCUUGAUACGUCUCCAACGUAUCUAUAAUUUUUGAUGGUUUCAUGCUAUUAUCUUGUCAAACUUUGGAUGUUUUGUAUGCCUUUUAUAUCAUUUUUUGAGACUAACUUAUUAACUCAGUGCCAAGUAUCAGUUCCUGUUUUUUCCAUGUUUUUGACCCCUUUCAAAGGAGGAUUAUAAACAGAGUCCAAAUGGAACGAAACUGCCAAAAAGAUUUUUUCUGAAACAGAAGAAGAUCGGGAAGCCUAAGAAUCAGGGCAGGGGGCCAACAGGGAUCCCACAAGCCCCCUAGCCGCAGCCAGGGGGCCCGCGCCUCCCAGGCUUGUGGGCUCCCUAGGCCACCUCUGCCCUAGGACUUUCGCCUAUAAAUUCCCUAAAAUCCUAGAAAAAUCAAGAGAUCAUCGAAAGUACUUUUCCGCCGCCGCAAGCUUAUGUCUCCGCAAGAUCCCAUGUGGGACACGUUCUGGUGCCCUGCCGGAGGGGGAUUCGGAUACGGAGGACUUCUUCAUCAACACCAUGACCUCUCCGGUGAUGCGUGAGUAGUUCACCAUAGACCUACGUGUCCAUAGCUAGUAGCUAGAUGGCUUCUUCUCUCUCAUGGAUCUUCAAUACAAAGUUCCCCGUGAUCUUCAUGGAGAUCUAUUCGAUGUAAUCUUCUUUUGUAGUGUGUUUGUCGAGAUCCGAUGAAUUGUAGAUUUAUGAUCAUAUUAUCUAUGAAUCUUAUUUGAGUUUCUUCUGAUCUCUCUUAUGCAUGAUUUCAUAUCCUUGUAAUUAUCUUCGAGUUGUGGGUUUUGUUUGGUCAACUAGAUCUAUGAUUCUUGGAAUGGGAGAAGUGCUUGGUUUUGGGUUCAUACUGUGCGGUGACCUCACCCAGUGAUAGAAGGGGUAGCGAGGCACGCAUCGUGUUGUUGCCAUCAAGGGUAAAAAGAUGGGUUUUUCAUCAUUGGUUUGAGAUUAUCCCUCUACAUCAUUUCAUCUUACUUAAGGCGUUACUCUCUUCGUCAUGAACUCAAUACACUAGAUGCAUGCUGGAUAGCGGUCGAUGUGUGGAGUAAUAGUAGUAGAUGCCGAAAGUAUCGGUCUACUUGUCUCGGAUGUGAUGCCUAUAUGUAUGAUCAUUGCCUUAGAUAUCGUCAUGACUUUGCGCGGUUGUAUCAAUUGCUCGACAGUAAUUUGUUCACCCACCGUGAUAUUUGCUAUUAUGAGAGAAGCCUCUAGUGAACACUAUCGCCCCCGGGUCUACUCCACACCAUAUUUUCAGCCUUACACUUUUCUUCGUUGCACUUUCCGCCUUCAGAUCUCACUUUGCAAUCAAUCUUGAAGGGAUUGACAACCCCUUUAUAGAAAUUGGUGCAAGCUCUUUGUGUUUGUGCGGGUACUCUGGACUUGACGAGAUUCUCCUACUGGAUUGAUACCUUGGUUCUCAAACUGAGGGAAAUACUUACUUCUCCUGUGCUGCAUCACCCUUUCCUCUUCAAGGGAAAACCAACGCAAGCUCAAGAGACGACAUAAGGUUUCUGUCGACGUAGCAACGAGCUCUUCGUCACCUCCAUAAACGAGAAACAUUUCCUUAGUCCUUUUGAGGUACUUCAGAAUAUUCUUGACCGCCGCCCAGUGCUCCACUCCUGGAUCACUCUGAAACCUGCCUGCCAUACUUAUGGCCAGGCUGACAUCUAGUCUUGUGCACAACAUUGCAUACAUGAUAGACCCUAUGGCUAAAGCAUAGGGGACGACACUCGUCUUUUCUCUAUCGUCUGCAGUUGUUGGACAUUGAGUCUUACUCAACUUUAUACCUUGUAACACAGGCAAGAACCCCUUCUUGGAUUGUUCCAUUUUGAACUUCUUCAAAACUUUAUCAAGGUAUGUGCUUUGUGAAAGAGCUAUGAGGUGCCUUGACCUAUCUCUAUACAUCUUUAUGCCCAAUAUGUAAGCAGCUUAUCCUAGGUCCUUCAUUGAAAAACUUUUAUUCAAGUAGUCCUUUACACUUUCCAAAAAUUCUACAUUGUUUCCAAUCAACAAUAUGGCAUCCACAUAUAAUAUUAGGAAAACGCUGUAGAGCUCCCACUCACUUGGUUGUAAAUACAAGCUUCUCCAAAAACUUGUAUAAACCCAAACGCCUUGGUCACCUCAUCAAAGCGUUGAUUCCAACUCUAAGAUACUUGCACCAGUCCAUAAAUGGAUUGCUGGAGCUUGCACACUUUGUCAGCAUUCUCUGGAUCGACAAAACCUUCGGGUUGCAUCAUAUACAACUCUUCCUUAAGAAACACGUUAAGGAACGCCGUUUUGACAUCCAUGUGCCUGAUUUCAUAAUCAAAAAAUGCAGCUAUUGCUAACAUGAUUCAGACGGACUUAAGCAUCGUCACGGGUGAGAAUGUCUCAUCGUAGUCAACUCAUUGAACUUGUGAAAAACCCUUUGCCACAAGUCGAGCUUUAUAAACGGUCACAUUACCGUCUGCGUUCAUCUUCUUCUUAAAGAUCCAUUUGUUCUGAAUAGCCUUUCGACCUUCAGGUAAUACUUUCAAAGUCCAUACUUUGUUUUUAUAGAUAGAUCCUAUCUUGGAUUUCAUGGCUUCUAACCAUCUGUUGGAAUCUGGGCCCACCAUUGCCUCUCCAUAAUUUGUAGGCUCAUUGUUGUCCAAUAACAUGAUUGACAAGACAGGAUUCCCGUACCACUCAAGAGAAGUACGCGCUCUUGUCGACCUGUGAGGUCCGACGGUAACUUGAUCUGAAGCUUCAUGAUCUCCAUCAUUAGCUUCCUCUUCAACUGGUGUUGCCUCGACAAAAAUUUCUUCCUUCCCUGCGCCACCAUCUUGUUGAAGUAGAGGUUCCGCAAUCUCAUCAAGUUCUAUCUUGCUCCCACUCAAUUCUUUCGAGAGAAACUCUUUCUCAAGAAAAGCUCCUUUCUUUGCCACAAACACUUCGCCUUCGAAUCUGAGAUAGAAGGUAUACCCAACAGUCUCUUUUGGGUAACCUAUGAAUACACACUUUUCCGCUUUGGGUUCCAGCUUUUCAGGCUAAAGCUUUUUGACAUAAGCAUCACAUCCCAAACUUUAAGAAACGACAACUUUGGCUUCUUUCCAUACCACAACUCAUAUGGUGUCGUCUCAACGGAUUUUGAUGGUGUCCUAUUUAAAGUGAAUGCAGCUAUCUCCAAUGCAUAGCCCUAAAAUGAUAACGACAAAUGGGUAAGAGACAUCAUAAAAUGCACCAUAUCUAAUAAAGUAUGAUUACGAGGUUCGGACAUACCAUUGUGUUGUGGUGUUCCAGGCGGUGUCAACUGUGAAACAAUUCCCCAUUGUCUUAAGUGAGCACCAAACUCGUAACUCAGAUAUUCACCUCCUCGAUCAGAUCGUAGGAAGUUGAUCUUCUUGUUACGAUGAUUUUCAAGUUCACUCUGAAAUUGCUUGAACUUUUCAAAGGUUUAACACUUGUGCUUCAUCAAGUAGAUAUGACCAUACCUACUCAAAUCGUCAGUGAAGGUGAGAAAAUAACGAUAUCCGCCACGCGCCUCUAUGCUCAUCAGUCCGCACACAUCAGUAUGCAUGAUCUCUAAUAAGUCACUUGCAUGCUCCAUUGUUCUGGAGAACGGAGUCUUAGUCAUCUUGCCCAUGAGACAUGGUUCGCAUGUGUCAAGUGAUUCAAAAUCAAGUGACUCCAAAAGUCCAUCAGCAUGGAGUUUCUUCAUGCGCUUUACACCAAUAUGACCUAAGCGGCAGUGCCACAAGAAAGUGGCGCUAUCCUUAUUAACUGUACAUCUUUUGGUCUUAAUGUUAUGGACAUGAGUGUCAUCACAAUCGAGAUUCAGUAUGAACAAACCCCUCACAUUGAGUGCAUGACCAUAAAAGAUAUUACUCAUAUAAAUAGAACAACCAUUAUUCUAUGACUUAAAUGAGUAAUCGUCUCGCAAUAAACAAGAUCCACAUAUAAUGUUCAUGCUUAAUGCAAACACUAAAUAACUAUUAUUCAAGUUCAUCACUAAUCCCGAUGGUAACUGAAAUGAGAGUGUGCCGACGGCGAUCACAUCAACCUUGGAACCAUUUCCUACGCGCAUCGUCACUUCAUCCUUCGCCAGUCUUCAUUUAUUCCGAAGUUCCUGUUUCGAGUUGCAAAUGUGAGCAACAGAACCGGUAUGAAAUACCCAGGCACUACUACAAGAGCUGGUGAGGUACACAUCAAUAACAUGUAUAUCAAAUAUACCUUGUUUGGCGUUGGCCGCCUUCUUAUCGGCAAGAUACUUGGGGCAGUUGCACUUCUAGUGACCAGUUCCCUUGCAAUAAUAACACUCAGUUUCUGGCUUACGUCCAGCCUUGGGUUUCUUCAUUGGAGGGGCAACAACUUUGCCACUCUUCUUGGAGUUACCCUUCUUGUCUUUGCCGUUUUCCUUGAAACUAGUGGUCUUAUUGGCCAUCAACACUUGACGUUCUUUCUGGAUUUCUGACUCAGCGACUUUCAGCAUCGCAAACAACUCGCCAGGUGACUUAUUCAUCCCUUGCAUGUUGUAGUUCAACAUGAAGCUCUUAUAGCUAGGUAGUAGUGUCUGAAGAAUUCCGUCAGUGAUAGCUUCUUGCGGGAGUUCAAUCCCCAGCUCAACUAGACAGUUAGAGUACCUAGACAUUCUCAGCACGUGUUCACUAACAAACGAAUUAUCCUCCAUUUUGCAAGCAUAGAACUUAUCGAAGGUAUCAUACCUCCCGAUCCACGCAUUCUUCUCAAAGAUAAACUCCAACUCCUGGAACAACACAUAUGCUCCAUGACGUUCAAAACGUCUUUGAAGUCCUGGUUCUAAGCCAUACAAAACUGCACAUUGAACCAAUGAGUAGUCAUCCUUACGGGACUGCCAAUCGUUCAAAACAUCUUGGGUCGUCGUAGCGGGUGUUGCAUCACCUAGCACAGCAUCAAGAACAUAUUGCUUUUGGCCAGCUGUGAGGAUAAGCCUCAGAUUAUGAGCCCAGUCAACAAAGUUGCUUCCAUCAUCUUUCAACUUAGCUUUUUAUAGGAAAGUAUUAAAAUUUAGGGUUGCUACAGCGCGAGCCAUUGAUCUACAACAUAAAAUUUUGCAAAUAUUACUUAGACUAUGUUCAAGACAAUUGAGUUUAGCUAAUCAUAUUACUAAUAAACUCCCACUCAAAUAGACAUCCCUCUAGUCAUUCGAGUGUCGCAUGAUCCAAAUUCACUAACUCAAGUCCGAUCAUCACGUGAGUUGAGAUUAGUUUCAAUGGUGAACAUUUCCAUGUUGAUAAUAUCAACUAUAUGAUCCAUGGUCGACCUUUCGGUCUCUUGCGUUCCGAGGCCAUGUCUGUACAUGCUAGGCUCGUCAAGUUUAACCCGAGUGUUCCGCGCAUGCAACUUUUUUGCACCCGUUGUAUGUGAACGUUGAGCCUAUCACACCCCAUCAUCACGUGGGGUCUCAAAAUGACGAACAGUCGCAACAGUGCAUGGUCUGGGAGAACACAGUUUUAUCUUGAAAUUUUAGUGAGGGAUCACCUUAUAAUGCUACCGUCGUCCUAAGGAAAAUAAGGUGCAUAAAGGAUUAACAUCACAUGCAAAUCAAAAAGUGACAUGACAUGGCCAUGAUCUUCUGCUUCUUGAUCUCCAUCACCAAAGCACCGGCAUGAUCUCCAUCGUCACUGGCGCCACACCAUGAUCUCCAUUAUUGUCUACCAUCGAGGUUGUCGCGCUAUCUAUGAUGUUACUACUAAAGCUACUACCUAGCAAUAUAGCAAGAGCAUCUGCAAGUGCAAAAUAAAUUUAAAGGCAACUCUAUGUCUCCUGCCGAUUGCCGUAGCAUCGACGUGCAAGUCGAUAUUUAACUAUUACAACAUGAUCAUCUCAUACAUCCAAUAUAUCAUACCAUGUCAUUGGUCAUAUCACAUCAUAAGCAUACCCUGCAAAAACAAGUUAGACGUCCUCUAAUUUGUUGUUGCAUGUUUUAUGUGGCUGCUAUGGGUAUCAAGUAUGAUCACAUCUUACUUACGCAAAGCCACAACGGUGAUAUGCAAAUUGCUAUUUAACCUUCUCCAAGGACCGCCUGGUCAAAUCCGAUUCAACUAAAGUUGAAGAAACAGACAACCGACAGUCAUCUUUAUGCAACAAGUUUCAUGUCAGUCGAUGAAACCGAUCUCUCGUAGGCGUACGAGUAAAGUUGGUCUGGGCCGCUUCAAUCCAACAAUGUCGUUGAAUCAAGAAAAGACUAAGGAGGGCAGCAAAUCGAACAUCAACGCCCACAAACUCUUUUGUGUUCUACUCGAGAUAUCAUCUACACAUGAACCUAGCUCUGAUACCACUGUUGGGGAACGUUGCAUGGGAAACAAAAAAAAUUCUACGCACACGAAGACCUAUCAUGGUGAUGAUCAUCUACGAGAGGGAGAUUGGAUCCCCAUACCCUUGUAGAUUGCUAAGCGGGAAACGUUAAGAAACAAGGUUGAUGUAGUGGAACGUCUUCGCGAUCCAAAUCAUCGUUGUCCCACGAUCCGUCCCGAUCUAGCGCCGAACGGACGACACCUCUAUGUUUAGCACACGUACAGCUCGAUGACGAUCUCCGCCUUCUUGAUCCAGCAAGAGAGACGAAGAGGUAGCUGAAUUCUUCGACAGCACGACGGCGUGGCGGUGAUGAUGGUGGAGCUACUCCGACAGGGUCGUACCGUACUGAACUAGCUACGAGGUGUCACGAAGUAGUGGAGGGAGAGAGGGUUGCACAAAGGCAUGAGGUGCAAAACCCCUCUCAAAUCUCCACUAUAUAUAUGAGGAACAAGAUGGAGGGUUGGCUUGCCUCCUCGGCCGAGCCCAAGAGGAAGGAUUCCUCCUCCAAUUCGGUUUGGUGGAGGAGUCCUUCCCAUCUUGUCCACCUCCUUCCUUUUUUUCCUUUUUCCUUUUUUUUUGCUUCAACCGAAAUAGGAUUACUGGGCUGGCCUCACUAGCACACAAAGGGCUGGUGCACCACCCAUGGGCCUAUUAGGUCCUCUCUUGGGUGGGUGGCCCCUCCCGGUAAAACCUCGAAACCCAUUCGUCACUCCCGGUAUUUUACCGGUAGUGCCCGAAAUCUUGCCGGAAGCCAAAUGCAAUAAUCCUAUAUAUCAAUCUUCAUUUCUGGACCAUUCCGGAGACACUCAUGACGUCCGGGAACUCAUCCGAGACUCCAAACAACACUCGGUUACCAACAUCAAUAGUUCAACUAUACUGAAAACGUCAACGAACCUUAAGUGUGCAGACCGUGCGGGUUCGAGAACUAUGUAGACAUGACCGAGACACUCUCCGGUCAAUAUCCAAUAGCGGGACCUGGACGUCCAUAUUGGAUCCUACAUAUUCUACGAAGAUCUUAUUGGUUAAACCUCUAUGUCAAGGAUUCACACAAUCCUGUAUAUCAUUCCCUUUGUCCUUCGAUAUGUUACUUGCCCGAGAUUCGUUGUCGGUAUCAACAUACCUAUUUCAAUUUCGUUACUGGCAAGUCUCUUUACUAAUUCUGCAAUACAAGAUCUCGUGGCUAACUCUUGGGUCACAUUGCUUGCAAGGCUUGUUUAUGAUGUUGUAUUCCCGAGUGGGUCCCGAGAUGUUGGAAUUAUGCCCUAGAGGCAAUAAUAAAUAUAGUUAUUAUUAUAAUUCCUGUAUCAGGAUAAUCAUUUAUUAUCCAUGCUAUAAUUGUAUUGAAUGAAGACUCAUUUACAUGUGUGGAUACAUAGACAAAACACCGUCCCUAGCAAGCCUCUAGUUGGCUAGCUAGUUGAUCAAAGAUAGUCAGUGUCUUCUGAUUAUGAACAAGGUGUUGUUGCUUGAUAACUGGAUCACGUCAUUAGGAGAAUCACGUGAUGAACUAGACCCAAACUAAUAGACGUAGCAUGUUGAUCGUGUCAUUUUGUUGCUACUGUUUUCUGCGUGUCAAGUAUUUAUUCCUAUGACCAUGAGAUCAUAUAACUCACUGACACCGGGGGAAUGCUUUGUGUGUAUCAAACGUCGCAACGUAACUGGGUGACUAUAAAGAUUCUCUACAGGUAUCUUCGAAGGUGUUAGUUGAGUUAGUAUGGAUCAAGACUGGGAUUUGUCACUCUGUGUGAACGGAGAGGUNGCUCGGGCGGAGCCCUACUGAGACAAGGUCAUCACCAACCUCCGGAGCGCCGUCACGCUGCCGGAGAACUCUUCUACCUCUCCGUCUCUCUUGCUGGAUCAAGAAGGCCGAGAUCAUCGUCGAGCUGUACGUGUGCUGAACGCGGAGGUGCCGUCCGUUCGGUACUAGAUCGUGGGACUGGUCGCGGGAUUGUUCGUGGGGCGGAUCGAGGGACGUGAGGACGUUCCACUACAUCAACCGCGUUCACUAACGCUUCUGCUGUAUGAUCUACAAGGGUACGUAGAUCACUCAUCCCCUCUCGUAGAUGGACAUCACCAUGAUAGGUCUUCGUGCGCGUAGGAAAAAUUUUGUUUCCCAUGCGACGUUCCCCAACAGUGGCAUCAUGAGCUAGGUACAUGCGUAGAUGUCUUCUCGAGUAGAACACAAAAGUUUUUGUGGGCGGUGAUGUGCGUUUUGCUGCCCUCCUUAGUCUUUUCUUGAUUCCGCGGUAUUGUUGGAUUGAAGCGGCUUGGACCGACAUUACUCGUACGCUUACGAGAGACUGGUUUCAUCGUUACGAGUAACUCCGUUGCUCAAAGAUGACUGGCAAGUGUCGGUUUCUCCAACUUUAGUUGAAUCGGAUUUGACCGAGGAGGUCCUUGGAUGAGGUUAAAUAGCAACUCAUAUAUCUCCGUUGUGGUGUUUGCGUGAGUAAGAUGCGAUCCUACUAGAUACCCAUGGUCACCACGUAAAACAUGCAACAACAAAAUUAGAGGACGUCUAACUUGUUUUUGCACGGUAUGCUUGUGAUGUGAUAUGGCCAAUGAUGUGAUGUGAUAUAUUGGAUGUAUGAGAUGAUCAUGUUGUAAUAGAAAUAUCGACUUGCACGUCGAUGGUACGGCAACCGGCAGGAGCCAUAGGGUUGUCUUUAUACUAACGUGUGUGCUUGCCGAUGCGUUUACUAUUUUGCUAGGAUGUAGCUUUAGUAGUAAUAGCAUGAGUAGCACGACAACCCCGAUGGCAACACGUUGAUGGAGAUCAUGGUGUGGUGCCGGUGACAAGAAGAUCGUGCCGGUGCUUUGGUGAUGGAGAUCAAGAAGCACGUGAUGAUGGCCAUAUCAUGUCACUUAUGAAUUGCAUGUGAUGUUAAUCCUUUUAUGCACCUUAUUUUGCUUAGAACGACGGUAGCAUUAUGAGGUGAUCUCUCACUAAAAUUUCAAGACGAAAUUGUGUUCUCCCCGACUGUGCACCGUUGCUACAAUUCGUCGUUUCGAGACACCACGUGAUGAUCGGGUGUGAUAGACUCAACGUUCACAUACAACGGGUGCAAAACAGUUGCGCACGCGGAACACUCGGGUUAAGCUUGACGAGCCUAGCAUGUGCAGACAUGGCCUCGGAACACAUGAGACCGAAAGGUCGAUCAUGAAUCAUAUAGAUGAUAUGAUUAGCAUAGGGAUGCUUACCACUGAAACUAUACUCAACUCACGUGAUGAUCGGACUUGAGCUAGUGUAAGUGGAUCAUGAACCACUCAAAUGACUAGAGAGAUGUACUUUUUGAGUGGGAGUUUAGCGAAUAAUUUGAUUAAGUUAAACUCUAAUUAUCUUGAACAUAGUCUAAGUCCACUUUGAAUAUAUUUGUGUUGUAGAUCAUGGCUCACGCGACAGUCAUCCUGAAUUUUAAUACGUUCCUAGAGAAAGCUAAGUUGAAAGAUGAUGGAAGCAACUUUGUAGACUGGGCUCGUAAUCUUAAGCUAAUCUUACAAGCUGGGAAGAAGGAUUAUGUCCUUAAUGCUGCGUUAGGAGAUGAACCACCCGCUACGGCUGAUUAGGAUGUUAAGAACGCUUGGUUAGCACGUAAGGAGGACUACUCAAUAGUUCAAUGUGCAGUCUUGUAUGGCUUAGAACCGGGACUUCAACGUCGCUUUGAGCGUCAUGGAGCAUUUGAGAUGUUCCAGGAGUUGGAGUUUAUCUUUCAGAAGAACGCUUGGAUCGAAAGGUAUGAGACCUCCGAAAAAUUCUAUGCUUGCAAGAUGGAGGAAAACUCAUCUGUCAGUGAACAUGUGCUCAAAAUGUCUGGGUACUCAAACUGUCUAGCUGAGCUGGGGAUUAAACUCCCGCAAGAAGCUAUCACUGACAGAAUCCUUCAAUCACUGCCGCCAAGCUAUAAAGGCUUUGUGUUGAACUACAACAUGCAAGGGAUGAACAAGUCUCCCGGCGAGUUGUUUGCGAUGCUGAAAGUCGCAGAGUCUGAACUCCGUAAAGAGCAUCAAGUGUUGAUGGUGAAUAAGACCACUAGUUUCAAGAGAAACGGCAAAGGCAAGAAGGGCAAUUCGAAGAAGAGCGGCAAGCCUGUUGCCAAUCCGACGAAGAAACCCAAAGCUGGACCUAAGCCGGAAACGGAGUGUUACUAUUGCAAGGGUAUGGGUCACUGGAAGCGCAAUUGCCCCAAGUAUCUAGCAGAUAAGAAGGCGGGCAAAGAAAAUUCAGGUAUAUUUGAUAUACAUGUUAUUGAUGUGUACUUAACCGGCUCUCGUAGUAGUGCCUGGGUAUUCGAUACCGGUUCUGUUGCUCAUAUUUGCAACUCGAAACAGGAACUGCGAAAUAGGCGAAGGCUGGCGAAAGAUGAAGUGACGAUGCGCGUAGGAAAUGGUUCCAAGGUUGAUGCAAUCGCCGUCGGCACAGUGUCACUUCAGUUACCGUCAGGAUUAGUGAUGAACUUAAAUCAUUGUUAUUUAGUGUCUGCGUUGAGCAUGAACAUUAUAUCUGGAUCUUGUUUAUUGCGAGACGGUUACUCUUUUAAGUCAGAGAAUAAUGGUUGUUCUAUUUCUAUGAGUAACAUCUUUUAUGGUCAUGCACCGAAUGUGAGAGGAUUGUUCAUAUUGAAUCUUGAUAACGAUACGCAUAUACAUAACACUGAGACCAAAAGAGUUAGAGUUAACAAUGAUAGCGCCAUAUUUUUGUGGCACUGCCGCUUAGGUCAUAUUGGUGUAAAGCGCAUGAAGAAACUCCAUGCUGAUGGACUUUUGGAGUCACUUGACUUUGAUUCACUUUACACGUCUGAACCAUGCCUCGUGGGCAAGAUGACGAAGACUCCGUUCUCAGGAACAAUGGACCGUGCAAGUGACUUGUUGGAAAUCAUACAUACCGAUGUGUGUGGUCCGAUGAACGUGGAGGCAUGCGGCGGAUAUCGUUAUUUUCUCACCUUCACUGACGAUUUAAGUAGAUAUGGUUAUGUCUACUUGAUGAAGCACAAGUCUGAAACAUUUGAAAAGUUCAAGCAAUUUCAGAGUGAAGUGGAAAAUCAUCGUAACAAGAAGAUCAAGUUCCUACGGUCUGAUCGUGGGGGUGAAUAUCUGAGUUUCGAGUUUGGUGCUCACUUAAGACAAUGUGGAAUUGUUUCACACUUAACACCGCCUGGAACACCACAGCGUAAUGGUGUGUCCGAACGUCGUAAUCGUACUCUAUUAGAGAUGGUGCGAUCUAUGAUGUCUCUUACUGAUUUGCCGUUAUCAUUUUGGGGCUAUGCAUUAGAAACAGCUGCAUUCACUUUAAAUAGGGCACCAUCAAAAUCCGUUGAGACGACACCAUACGAACUGUGGUAUGGCAAAAGGCCAAAGUUGUCGUUUCUUAAAGUUUGGGGAUGUGAUGCUUAUGUCAAAAAGCUUCAGCCUGAAAAGCUGGAACCCAAAGCGGAAAAGUGCGUCUUCAUAGGUUACCCAAAAGAGACAGUUGGGUACACCUUCUAUCUCAAAUCCGAGGGCAAAGUGUUUGUUGCUAAAAACGGAGCUUUUCUCGAGAAGGAGUUUGUCUCGAGAGAAUUGAGUGGGAGGAAGAUAGAACUUGACGAGGUUGUCGAACCUCUCAUCCCUCUGGAUGGUGGCGCAGGGCAAGGGGAAACCUCUGUCAGUGCGACGCCGGUUGAGGAGGAAGUUAAUGAUGAUGAUCAUGAAACUCCAGUUCAAGUUUCUGUCGAACCACGCAGGUCGACGAGACCACGUGCUGCUCCAGAGUGGUACGGUAAUCCCGUCUUAUCAAUCAUGUUGUUAGACAACAAUGAACCUGCGAAUUAUGAAGAAGCAAUGGUGGGCCCAGAUUCCAACAAAUGGCUGGAAGCCAUGAAGACCGAGAUAGGAUCCAUGUAUGAGAACAAAGUGUGGACUUUGGAGGUACUGCCUGAGGGCCGCAAGGCCAUUCAGAACAAAUGGAUCUUUAAGAGGAAGGCGGACGCUGACGGUAAUGUGACCGUUUAUAAAGCUCGACUUGUGGCAAAGGGUUUUUCACAAGUUCAAGGAGUUGACUACGAUGAGACUUUCUCACCCGUAGCGAUGCUUAAGUCCGACAGAAUCAUGUUAGCAAUACCUGCAUUUUUCUAUUAUGAAAUCUGGCAGAUGGAUGUCAAAACGGCGUUCCUUAACGGUUUCCUUAAGGAAGAGUUGUAUAUGAUACAACCCGAAGGUUUUGUCGAUCCUAAGAAUGCUAACAAGGUGUGCAAGCUCCAGCGAUCCAUUUAUGGACUGGUGCAAGCAUCUCGGAGUUGGAACAAACGCUUUGAUGAGGUGAUCAAAGCAUUUGGGUUUAUACAAGUGGUUGGAGAAUCUUGUAUUUACAAGAAAGUGAGUGGGAGCUCUGUGGCGUUUCUAAUAUUAUAUGUGGAUGACAUAUUACCGAUUGGAAACAACGUAGAGUUUUUAGAGAGCAUAAAGGAUUACUUGAAUAAAAGUUUCUCUAUGAAGGACCUAGGAGAAGCUGCUUACAUUCUAGGCAUUAAGAUCUAUAGGAUAGAUCAAAACGCCUGAUAGGACUUUCACAAAGCACAUACCUUGAUAAAGUUUUGAAGAGGUUCAAAAUGGAACAGUCCAAGAAAGGGUUCUUGCCAGUUCUACAAGGUACGAGAUUGAGUAAGACUCAGUGCCCAGCAACUGAUGAAGAUAGAGAGCAUAUGCGCUCCGUCCCCUAUGCUUCAGCCAUAGGUUCUAUCAUGUAUGCGAUGUUGUGCACUAGACCGGAUGUUAGCCUGGCCAUAAGUAUGGCAGGUAGGUUCCAGAGUAAUCCAGGAGUGGAUCACUAGACAGCGGUCAAGAAUAUCCUGAAGUACCUGAAAAGGACUAAGGAGAUGUUUCUCGUGUAUGGAGGUGACGAAGAGCUCGCCGUAAAAGGUUACGUCGAUGCAAGCUUUGACACAGAUCCGGACGACUCUAAGUCGCAAAUCGGAUACGUAUUUAUUCUUAAUGGGGGUGCACUAAGCUAGUGCAGUUCCAAGCAAAGCGUCGUAGCAGAUUCUACAUGUGAAGCAGAGUACAUGGCUGCCUCGGAGGCGGCUAAGGAGGGUGUCUGGAUGAAGCAGUUCAUGACGGAUCUUGGAGUGGUGCCAAGCGCACUGAAUCCAAUAACCUUGUUCUGUGACAACACUGGUGCCAUUGCCUUAGCAAAGGAACCACGGUUUCACAAGAAGACCAGACACAUCAAACGACGCUUCAACCUCAUCCGCGACUACGUCGAGGGAGAGGACGUGAAUAUAUGCAAAGUGCACACGGAUCUGAAUGUAGCGGACCCGCUGACUAAACCUCUUCCACGGCCAAAACAUGAUCAACACCAGAACUGUAUGGGUGUUAGAUUUAUUACAAUGUAAUUCAGAUGGUGAUGUGAGGGCUAGAUUAUUGACUCUAGUGCAAGUGGGAGACAGUUGGAAUUAUGCCCUAGAGGCAAUAACAAAUAUAGUUAUUAUUAUAAUUCCUGUAUCAAGAUAAUCGUUUAUUAUCCAUGCUAUAAUUGUAUUGAAUGAAGACUCAUUUACAUGUGUGGAUACAUAGACAAAACACCGUCCCUAGCAAGCCUCUAGUUGGCUAGCCAGUUGAUCAAAGAUAGUCAGUGUCUUCUGGUUAUGAACAAGGUGUUGUUGCUUGAUAACUGGAUCACGUCAUUAGGAGAAUCACGUGAUGAACUAGACCCAAACUAANNNNNNNNNNNNNNNNNNNNNNNNNNNNNNNNNNNNNNNNNNNNNNNNNNNNNNNNNNNNNNNNNNNNNNNNNNNNNNNNNNNNNNNNNNNNNNNNNNNNCGGGCGUGAUCGGGCCGCCUCAUGUUCUCGCUAAGGAAGCUUUAUAUGAACAAAAAAAAUUUACCUAUACUACCCGUAGUCUUCGUCUUCCCCAUCCUCCUCCUCUUCUAGUUCGUCAAGGAAUGUGUAGGAGUCUGAAUCACGAUAGGCAGCCACAACCUACAAGCAUAGCGUGCUCCUCCUCAUUGGUGUGCACGACCCCAAACUCGCGUAUGUAGCGUGCUUGGAGGGUGACGAGCUUGAGCACGCUGUUGACGGAGUCCUCUGGCUUCGGCCCCGGCUCGUCGUUCAGAGGAGCGACCUUGUUUACGGCGACGAGGACACCGUUUACUAGGGUUCAACCAGGCCCGGGCCCACAGUGGUGCCACAUGUGCAGCCCGCACAGGGCCGACGAUUUUGGGGGGCCCCAAUAUAUAUAUAUAUAUAUAUGCAUAUGAAUAUAGUUGUAUAAAAAGGAAAAUCGGCUGGACGUGGGCGUCGUGGGCGUCGUGCCUCGAUCGAUCGAUUUGCGCAUCUGGCCACCGCGCCGUGGGCUCCUGGAGCGAGCUGGCCAGCUGGGCACCUGCCGCCUGGGCAAAUGGGCCUUUAUUACGGUGUACGUGAGGCUACUACUACCACCUGGGCCCUGGCCUCAUCCCGUGUCAGCUACACCGCUACCAUCGAUCGAGCCCCUGAUCGAGGCACGACUCUGUGAUCCAGCAAUCGCUCGCCGCCUCGCCCCUGUCGCUCGCCAGGCCUGUCGCUCGGCAAAACAGGAGAUCGCUCCUCGCUCGCCCUUGUCGCUCGCCAAAACACGCGAUAUCAGAACGUGAGGCUCUGGUGCUCGUGGCUCGCCGUCUCGUACUCGCAGUUCGCUGAGUCGCCGUCGCCGAAACGUUUUCCCAUCAGGCACUAGCAUCAGGCAUGCUUCCCAUCGAUCUGGAAUUUGUAGACGCAGACCCUGUGUAGACUUGAUCGCACUAUCGCGACAUCGGUAAGAAAAGAAUAUCUCGUCGUCAGGUGCUCGUCGCCUUCGUCGUUCGCAUCAUCACCGAUCAGUUCAUCAGAUCGAUCUCGCGAUCCGAUUCAGGCCGCCGCCGAGACUCGUCGUCUUGUCGGAUCGAUCCCAGUUCAUCCGUGAAGGAUCCAAAACUAGGUGAGUUAGAUAGUUCGUCUAAGUGUCAUCAUGCUACUGUAUAACUUCAAUUUCAUUGUAUUCAUCUUUUUAAUAUUGUAUUUCAAUAAUAUAGAUUUGAGUCAUCAUGGGGAAACAUCAGUCUGGUGCCUAUAAGCGCAAGAAAAAAGCAGAAGAACAAAAUUUAAUUAAUAAAUCUUAUAAAGGCGGCAUGGACAAAUUUGUUAGAAAAAAACCACCGCAAGUGUCAUCCGGUAAUCAGUCUGUUGAUCCUUCUACCCUUGCACUUGCAAUUGUUCCUUACAAUGAUGAUAGAGAUGGUCAGACAGAGACAGAUAAUAUGGAGGUAGAGGAAGAUCAUAUUGAUGUUAACUUGAAUAGUUCACCUCGUGAGGAUGUUGAUGAUUCUUUUAAGUCUGGUAUAUUUGAUCCAAGAAACUGGAAUUCUCUUGAUUCUAAACAGAUUGAUAUCUUAGCACAAAAGGGUCCAAAAAGAGACAAUUCAAUUAAGAAAGGUCCUAAAGAUAGAUAUCGUAAAAGGUUUACCGCAAUAUUCUAUACUAGAUUUCUAUCAAAUGGAGAGUGUUGUGAUAGAGACUGGCUUGUCUAUUCUAAACAACUUGAUAGAGUCUUUUGCUUUGCUUGUAAGUUAUUUAGAAAAAGUCAUCAGAAAGGUCAAUUGGCAAAUGAGGGCUGUAAUGAUUGGUCACAUAUGACCAAUAGACUAAAAGACCAUGAGACAAGUGGGGAUCAUGUUUUGAGUAUGACUAAUUGGUAUGAGUUGCGCAGUAGAUUGGAAAAACAUCAAACUAUUGAUAAAACAGCUCAACGACAACUUGAGAAAGAGAAGGACCAUUGGAGAAAGGUAUUAUUCAUAAUUGUUUGCAUUGUGAAAUUUCUUGCCAAGCAUAAUCUAGCAUUCCGUGGUACUAAUGGCAAGUUGUAUGAAGAUAGCAAUGGUAAUUUCUUGGGUUUGGUAGAGAUGUUGGCUGAAUUUGACCCCAUUAUUCAGGAGCAUGUUCGUCGUAUUACAAAUGAAGAAACUCAUGCUCAUUAUCUUGAUCAUAAGAUUCAGAAUGAAUUGCUACACUUGCUUGCUUCUUGUAUUAGGUCAGAAAUUAUCAAGAAAAUAAAGAGCGCAAAGUAUUUCUCCGUCAUACUUGAUUGUACCCCUGAUGCAAGUCACCAAGAGCAAAUGUCUUUAAUUAUAAGAUAUGCGGAUUCAUCUUCAAGUCAAGUUUUCAUAGAAGAGUCUUUUCUAGGAUUUCUUGAUGUAAAUGAUUCAACUGGUCAAGGACUUUUUGAGGUGCUACAGAAUGAGCUAAAACUUCUUGAUCUUGAUAUAAAUGAUGUGCGAGGACAAGGUUAUGAUAAUGGAUCAAAUAUGAAAGGAACGCAUCAAGGGGUACAAAGAAAACUUUUGGAUGUAAAUCCUAGAGCUUUUUAUUCUGCUUGUGGUUGUCAUAGCCUUAAUUUAACACUUUGUGAUAUGGCCAAGACUUGUGGUAGAGCAAAAGACUUUUUUGGGAUCAUCCAACGCAUCUAUACAAUUUUUGCAAAUUCUACUAAGAAAUGGCAUAUUUUGAAAGAAAACAUAUCAGGAUUGACUCUCAAGUCUGUGUCAGCUACGCGUUGGGAGAGUCAUGUUGAAAGUGUUAAACCAAUUAGAUUUCAAUGUUCAGACAUUCGCGAGGCUCUACUUCAGGUAACCAAUAUGUUCAUAUUGAUAAUGAUGUAAUUCAUUCAGACUUUGACUAGUCCAACCAUAACAUUUAUGAACUUUAUUUUAAUUUCAGGUAUCUGAAACUGAUAGUGAUCCGAAGGCAAGCAGUGAGGCUCUAGGUUUGGCAAACAAUGAACUUGGAGAGUAUGAAUUUAUCGUGGCAAUAGUCAUUUGGUAUGAGGUAUUGUCUGCUAUUAAUUUAGUAAGCAAGAACUUGCAAACAAAGGAUAUGCUUAUUGAUGUUGCAAUUGAGAAAGUGAAAGGGCUUAUUUCUUUCUUUGAGGGGUACAGAGAAACUGGUUUCUUAAAAGCAUUGCAGAUAGCCAAAGAAAUUGCACUUGAGAUGAAUAUUGAUGCAACAUUUCGUAAAAGAAGAGAAAUUAAAAGAAAGAAACAGUUUGAUGAGAACCCAGACGACACAAAUAUUGCCACACAGUCUGCACAUGAAUCAUUUAGAGUCAACUAUUUCAUACGUGUUGUUGAUCAAGCAAUUUCCUCACUCACAAGGAGAUUUGAGCAAUAUGAAGGUUAUCAGAAAAUAUUUGGUUUCUUAUUUACCUCUGAAACAUUGCGUUCAUUGGAUAAGGAUAGUUUGAAAUCUUCUUGUGUUAAUCUUGAGGCUUCCCUUAUGAAGGAUGAACAAUCUGAUAUUGAUGCCAAUGAACUAUUUGUUGAGUUGAAGUUUCUUCAAAAUUUCAUGCCAAAAGAAAAUAUCGGACCUGUUAAAAUUCUGAAUUUUUAAAGCGGCAUGAUUGUUUUCCCAAUGCAAGUAUUGCAUAUAGAGUUCUGUUGACCAUUCCUGUGACAGUUGCAUCGGCAGAAAGAAGUUUUUCUAAAUUAAAACUAUUGAAGUCCUAUAUGCGUACUACUAUGACACAACAAAGACUCAAUGAUUUGGCCACAAUAGCACUUGAGAGUGAAGUCUUGGAGAAGAUUGAUUACGAGGAUAUAAUUGAAGAUUUUAUUUCAAAGAAUACUGCAAGAAUGAGGAUGUUCAAAUAAACAGCAAUUGGGAGUUGUAUAGGUAUGAGUUUUUUAUAUGUCCAAUUUUUAUGUAAGAUAUUAUAUUAUAUACAUUAUAAAAAAAAUUUCAAGGCAUAUAUACAUUAUAGUUGCUCGUUAGUUCAUUUUUUUGUAAGAUAGGGCCCCAUUUUUUCGUUUCGCAUAGGGCCCUGGAUUUUGUCGGGCCGGCCCUGGGUUCAACCUUGCAUUUUUUAUUACGUUCUCUCCUCACAAUUGUGGGAAACUAUUGCCUCUCAAUCUCAUUAUCUUUUCUCCUCAAACUUCAGAAGCAAUUUCCCCUUUAGGAACAUCUAUAACCAGUGUUGGGGAACGUCGCAUGGGAAACAAAAAAAUUUCCUACGCGCACGAAGACCUAUCAUGGUGAUGUCCAUCUACGAGAGGGGAUGAGUGAUCUACAUACCCUUGUAGACCGUACAGCAGAAGCGUUAGAGAACGCGGUUGAUGUAGUGGAACGUCCUCACGUCCCUCGAUCCGCCCCGCGAACAAUCCCGCGAUCAGUCCCACGAUCUAGUACCGAACGGACGGCACCUCCGCGUUCAGCACACGUACAGCUUGACGAUGAUCUCGGCCUUCUUGAUCCAGCAAGAGAGACGGAGAGGUAGAAGAGUUCUCCGGCAGCGUGACGGCGCUCCGGAGGUUGGUGAUGACCUUGUCUCAGCAGGGCUCCGCCCGAGCUCCGCAGAAACACGAUCUAGAGGAAAAACCGUGGAGGUAUGUGGUCGGGCUGCCGUGGAAAAGUAGUCUCAAAUCAGCCCUAAAACCUCCGUAUAUAUAGGUGGGAGGGAGGGGACCUUGCCUUGGGGNNNNNNNNNNNNNNNNNNNNNNNNNNNNNNNNNNNNNNNNNNNNNNNNNNNNNNNNNNNNNNNNNNNNNNNNNNNNNNNNNNNNNNNNNNNNNNNNNNNNNNNNNNNNNNNNNNNNNNNNNNNNNNNNNNNNNNNNNNNNNNNNNNNNNNNNNNNNNNNNNNNNNNNNNNNNNNNNNNNNNNNNNNNNNNNNNNNNNNNNNNNNNNNNNNNNNNNNNNNNNNNNNNNNNNNNNNNNNNNNNNNNNNNNNNNNNNNNNNNNNNNNNNNNNNNNNNNNNNNNNNNNNNNNNNNNNNNNNNNNNNNNNNNNNNNNNNNNNNNNNNNNNNNNNNNNNNNNNNNNNNNNNNNNNNNNNNNNNNNNNNNNNNNNNNNNNNNNNNNNNNNNNNNNNNNNNNNNNNNNNNNNNNNNNNNNNNNNNNNNNNNNNNNNNNNNNNNNNNNNNNNNNNNNNNNNNNNNNNNNNNNNNNNNNNNNNNNNNNNNNNNNNNNNNNNNNNNNNNNNNNNNNNNNNNNNNNNNNNNNNNNNNNNNNNNNNNNNNNNNNNNNNNNNNNNNNNNNNNNNNNNNNNNNNNNNNNNNNNNNNNNNNNNNNNNNNNNNNNNNNNNNNNNNNNNNNNNNNNNNNNNNNNNNNNNNNNNNNNNNNNNNNNNNNNNNNNNNNNNNNNNNNNNNNNNNNNNNNNNNNNNNNNNNNNNNNNNNNNNNNNNNNNNNNNNNNNNNNNNNNNNNNNNNNNNNNNNNNNNNNNNNNNNNNNNNNNNNNNNNNNNNNNNNNNNNNNNNNNNNNNNNNNNNNNNNNNNNNNNNNNNNNNNNNNNNNNNNNNNNNNNNNNNNNNNNNNNNNNNNNNNNNNNNNNNNNNNNNNNNNNNNNNNNNNNNNNNNNNNNNNNNNNNNNNNNNNNNNNNNNNNNNNNNNNNNNNNNNNNNNNNNNNNNNNNNNNNNNNNNNNNNNNNNNNNNNNNNNNNNNNNNNNCAUCCUGGGCUUGUUUCAUGUACGUUUGUUUUUAUGGUGCUCAUCCUGGGCUUGUUUCAUGGGUGCACAUAUGAUGUAGGCAGUGGAUGCGUGGAAAAUCCUGGAUUGUGUAGAUUCUGCCUGUCCUAUUAAUGUUUCACUCGUAUAGCUUUGGUGCGGGCGAGAGUGCCUUAUUAAUUUAAUAUAUCAAGGGUCAAUUUAUUUGAUGUUUGCAUAAUUUGUUAUGAUUGAAUCCUUGGGUCAACCUUUGUGCUUCAACUGAUAGGUUUGUUACGAAGGAAACCAAAAUUACUUGCAUUCACUAUUUACUGAAAAAAGAUGGACGUGAUUAUUAAAUACUCUUUUUAUCAAUAUAUGCGUAUUUUUAGGAAUGAGAGUUUAACUUCAGCGGAGGUGGCUUACCUGUCCCAGGACUCAGGAGAAGAUCAACGCCAGGUCUUCUGCGCUGUUUCCUGUUUUGCUCGGUAGCUCGAGGAGUGGGGAGUAUUUGCUUUACUGGUUUUGGUAGUUACGGUUUGGUUCCCUUUAAACCGGGCCAAUUGUACAUAAACUAUUAUCACCGCUUAAUAAACAGCCAGUGCUUCUUCAUUUUUCCUAUAUAGAAAGAGGAACAUAAUUGUUGGUACAAAAUGUUAACUGUACUAAGCACAUGAGUUCUUUUUAUAGUUGUCGAUUUGUCGACAUUGGUAUCGUGAUUGUUUAGAUCUAGAUAGUGAUAGGCAAAUGUUCAUUUCUUCUUAUAGUGACAGCCUUUGCAGGGAAGCUUAUUAACCCACCGAGUUAGUACUUUGUACUAUAUUCCAGUGCUAAGUGGACAGUAGGAUUCUACUGUUUAACCAUAUAUGGCCUACAACAGGCGGUGAAUGUUGGUUAAAGUUGUGUACAAUCGAUAAAAAUAUGCAGUGUAAAUUUCAGAGGAAUAUCUCAUUCUAAGCAUGGUGAACUCUCUGAUCUGUCUUUGGUCCAUCUUUGGGAGAAGAUGCAAGUGUUUUGAUGACAUAUGUUUGCUGUAGUGUUGAAUCCUCAUGAUACUAAAGUUCUUCUACUGGAUAGAGAUACAUUGUUCAUUACCCUUUCUUUCACAAGGAACUAGCAGAAUCUAUUUUCUUCAUCUGCUAGGACCAGUGCUUAUAACCACACGUGAUACUGCUGUCACGUCUUUCUCCAUCAAAGCAGCAUCGUUGGUUAUUUGCACUGUAGUGUGCGGCAAUCAUAAUUAUGAUUAGUUGGUCUUUUACUGAUGAUGGCAUGUUGUCAUUACCUCAAAAUGGCAGAUUCCUACUACUUUCCAGAUUGUAUCAUGGCACUCUUCUAUUAAUCUGAUAUAAGCUUACUCUUGUACUUUUCUGUACAGCCUCGGAUUAAGAAGAUCAUGCAAGCAGAUGAAGAUGUUGGCAAGAUUGCUCUAGCUGUACCUGUUCUUGUGUGUAAGUUUUCCAGAACCUCUUUUUUAAGAACUUUCCUUUAACUCACCUGUUAUCAGUUCCAGAGUUAUUUCCCUACAUACAUCAUCUUUUUUUCACCAUCCAUUGCUAACAAGAAAUGACAGUGCUGACUACCGUCUUAGAACAUACUUUUUUUCUUUUAUUAGACCAAAUUAUUCUCAUUUAAACCGAAGCUAAAAAUAAUUGCAGAUAUUAGUAUCCAUUGUACCUUCUCAGUGUAAACAAAACAUAGGCAUAAUAGGAACUAUUUGGUCCUUUGGGGAAGUUGACGGAUAAAUCCUCUGAAUUUAUCUUUACAGAGUCGUGUUUUGUAUUGUUUGGAGCAUGACACGUUUGCAGCUGUCAGUUGGUCAGCACGACACUUUGAUUCAGAUGACAUGAUUUGAUAUAUGGUCAUUCUAAAUCUCGAUUUCAAACUAGAGAAUCAUACUAAUCAUAAAUCAUAUAGUGAAGUAGAGCAACAGUAGCCAUCUUUCUUGAUAGAAGGAGGAAAUUACUGUUGAGGUCAUGAGAGCUGAGGCGCAAAUGUGAAUCCUAUGGCCAAGGGAAACCGAGUUCAGGCUCAAUGGUCAACCUCCCCUCCACACACACAACAUUCACAAACAUUCAAGCAGCAUGUAAGCCUAUUCUCUUAUAUUGAUCCCCACAUCCACAGUUGCCUUUACACCUCUUCCCCCCACAGGCGCGCCACCACCAUAUUUCCAUGCCCGAGUGACCUCUGACUGGCUCCUCCACCAAGAACCUCAUCUUUACCCUGUUAGCUCCGCCGAUAUGCUAUCACCAUGUGUUCAUGAUUUAGCCUUUUCUGUUCCCCUGAUUUGUAGCUAGUCAAUGUUUUACAUAUCCUGGUGGGUCAAACUGGUUAAAGGAGAAGAUGGGCUCAAGUUAGGCGGGCAGCCAUGGUGAGGGGAAAGGGAAAUCUGGGAGAAGGCUAGGUGUGGGAAGAACUCGUAUUAUACAUGGCACGGUAUAUUCUAUUUUAGAUGCAUAUACAAAAAUGGAGGUGCAUUGGUAGAAGGCGAACUCCUACUUGUAUAAGCAGUAUAGAUAACAUCAACUGCAAGUAUAGCUUAAUUGCAUGUGCUUAUUUGAACUAUAUGAUUAAUUAGUACUUGCAUGUACAUGUUGAUAUAAGAUUGACACAAGCUAUAAGCGAUAACAAAGCAACUCGACCCCUUGGUACACCUACAUGCUUGUAUUUUAUUAGUUUCUUUUUGUAACUCACAUCAUGCAUGUACUUUGAACUAACAUAUUUUUCUGUGAUCAUGAUUUGCAGCCAAAGCGUUGGAGCUAUUUUUGCAAGACUUGUGUGAUAGGACAUAUAAUAUCACAAUUGAAAAAGGGGUCAAAACAGUGAGUUCAUCGCAUUUGUAAGUUUACUAGACCUUGUAUGUUUUGUCAGAUCAAAAUACCUUUUUGUUUGACUGGAUUGAUGAUUUAUGUGGAAGCUGUAAAAUUAUAUUCCUAGAUACAUGUUCUUGAACUGAAAGAGAAAGCUAGAUAAGCAUGUGUCUUGUGGUGGGCUGUGCUGAUUUUUGAGUAUUACUGUGUUGGUGGGGGUCCUUCAGACAUGCAGUUGGGUGGUGGCUGCAUCAUUUUCAUUUUGUAGUUAGAAAUGGGGCGUGUUUUCUUAAUGCUGAUAUGUAUUAUUUCCUUGAGGAAAACAUUUGUUUUUCUGAUGGUCCCAUUAUCUUAUUCAGUAUUAUGCUUUUACAGGAAACAGUGCAUUCAUAGUUAUGAUGUGUAUGAUUUUUUGAAGAACGUAGCCAGCAAAGUCCCAGAUUUGGGUGCACCUGAUUCUAAUGCUGAUGAUAAGCUUGGCAAAAGAAGGUAAGGUGUCAAAUUGUGAUUAAUUAGAGUGAUAUGAACUUUAAUAAUUGCUGAAAUUGCAUCAGGAAACAUGGUGAAGAUGAAAGCGAGGAGGAAACAAAGCGGACAAGAAAUGUUAGUCUUUGCGAUCCAUACCUUUCUGUAUAUGUUACACUUCUUACAUGUACUUUUUGUGAAAAGUUUUUAGUAAAUGCUCAUGACUUCCAUUUUCUCUGCUAAUUUAUGUCGCCCAUUCAACCUCCUUUUGCUGAUAAAAGUUUUGCACAUGCAGGAGGCAGCAUGCCACACAAGCAACGGCAGAGGGCGUGGGAGGGGACGCGGGAGAGGUCGCCGUGCCGGGCGUGGAGCUGAGAGGGAGAUUGAACACCAUGAAUUAGCUCGCACUGAAUUUAGCAACCCAGGCCACCUAAAGGUAGAGACUGGAGAUGGUUUUGACACAACUGAAACCAAGGAGCAUACCCCUUUGAGUAAUGCCAGGGCCUCCUUAAGGAACAUUGACUUGAACUUAGAUCUUGCUGACUAUGAGGAGGAUACAGUGGCACCACAAGCCGAUCCUGCUCCGGUGGUGAUCGUGGCGUCGCAAGUCCAGACUUCAGGGCCGUCGGUUUCACUGUUGAAAGAAGUGGAGACCAAGGAUCUCCUGGGCUGGCAACUGCCUGAGAUGAACAAGAUGGCCUUGGAUCCGGUCCAGUUUGCGCUGUCGUCAAACCAUAGAUUAGAGGAGGAGGACGAAGACUAUGACAAUGAAGAAUGACGGUGACUCCAGCGUGGAUUUAGUAGGUAGACAUGACAUGAUGUACAUCCUAGCAGGCCCAGCUUGACAAUGUAGUAGCAAUUCUCUUAGUAGUAUGUGUACCCGCAGACGCUGCAGAAGUAAUUUAGGAUGUCACAUAUGUUGAUGGCUCAGUAGCCAGUAGUAGCUAUAGUAUCUUUUGUGUAGCAACCAUAUAACUAGACAGGUUCACCGGUUGUAAAUCACGGCCGCUCUUAGAUCAGAUGGUAUGUCGCAAUGCUUAUGCUUGUUAGCUGUGGAUUUUUCUCUCUUGCUUUGGUGGUUAAUGCUGACAAUCUUGUGUUGUUUCUGUGAUGCAAGAGGUCCAGAUAUUUUGGAGGUGAAUUGCAAACUACUCCCUCCGUCCCAUCUCACGUAAUAUGAGAGCGUUUUUGACACUUGGGACAGAGGGAGUAUAAGUCAACGUGUCUGAUAGUAGGUGAAAAUACUGGGAACUCAGCAUGUUCCGUUGGGAAAAUCAGAGCAACUAGAUGAGGUAGGGAGCAGGUUUAUUUCAUCAUAUUACGCCAGUAUCCAGCGAGGCUGGCAUGUUGGAUAGGCUCGAGCCACAAGCUUCAGCUUACAUAUAAGUAUAUAACAUACUAGCAUUAUCUACAUCUUUUCAUUAGGCGGCCGGCUUGAAUUCCUGGAGCUGCUUGAAGUUCUCCCAGGCCUUCUCCCACACCUUGGCCUCGUAGAGCUUCUUGGCGCCGCCUUCCUUGACCUCGAUGGUGAAGUAGUGCAUGCACCCGGCCACCACCUGCUGCCUCACCUUCACCAGCCUCUCGAACUCCAGCAACGCGUUCUGCGCCCAAAACAGAAUUAACAG